rnacentral:rRNA from 1 species
UUAAGCGACUAAGCGUACACGGUGGAUGCCCUGGCAGUCAGAGGCGAUGAAGGACGUGCUAAUCUGCGAAAAGCGCCGGCGAGGUGAUAUGAACCCUUGACCCGGCGAUGUCCGAAUGGGGAAACCCAGUGCAAUCCGUUGCACUAUCGUUAACUGAAUACAUAGGUUAACGAGGCGAACCGGGGGAACUGAAACAUCUAAGUACCCCGAGGAAAAGAAAUCAACCGAGAUUCCCCCAGUAGCGGCGAGCGAACGGGGAGCAGCCCGGAGUCUGAAUCAGCUUGUGUGUUAGUGGAACGGUCUGGAAAGUCCGACGGUACAGGGUGAUAGUCCCGUACACGAAAGCACACUUGCUGUGAACUCGAAGAGUAGGGCGGGACACGUGGUAUCCUGUCUGAAUAUGGGGGGACCAUCCUCCAAGGCUAAAUACUCCUGACUGACCGAUAGUGAACCAGUACCGUGAGGGAAAGGCGAAAAGAACCCCGGCGAGGGGAGUGAAAAAGAACCUGAAACCGUGUACGUACAAGCAGUGGGAGCCUCUUUAUGGGGUGACUGCGUACCUUUUGUAUAAUGGGUCAGCGACUUAUAUUCUGUAGCAAGGUUAACCGUAUAGGGGAGCCGAAGGGAAACCGAGUCUUAACUGGGCGUUAAGUUGCAGGGUAUAGACCCGAAACCCGGUGAUCUAGCCAUGGGCAGGUUGAAGGUUGGGUAACACUAACUGGAGGACCGAACCGACUAAUGUUGAAAAAUUAGCGGAUGACCUGUGGCUGGGGGUGAAAGGCCAAUCAAACCGGGAGAUAGCUGGUUCUCCCCGAAAGCUAUUUAGGUAGCGCCUCGUGAACUCAUCUUCGGGGGUAGAGCACUGUUUCGGCUAGGGGGCCAUCCCGGCUUACCAACCCGAUGCAAACUACGAAUACCGAAGAAUGUUAUCACGGGAGACACACGGCGGGUGCUAACGUCCGUCGUGAAGAGGGAAACAACCCAGACCGCCAGCUAAGGUCCCAAAGUCAUGGUUAAGUGGGAAACGAUGUGGGAAGGCACAGACAGCCAGGAUGUUGGCUUAGAAGCAGCCAUCAUUUAAAGAAAGCGUAAUAGCUCACUGGUCGAGUCGGCCUGCGCGGAAGAUGUAACGGGGCUAAACCAUGCACCGAAGCUGCGGCAGCGACACUAUGUGUUGUUGGGUAGGGGAGCGUUCUGUAAGCCGUUGAAGGUGUGCUGUGAGGCAUGCUGGAGGUAUCAGAAGUGCGAAUGCUGACAUAAGUAACGAUAAAGCGGGUGAAAAGCCCGCUCGCCGGAAGACCAAGGGUUCCUGUCCAACGUUAAUCGGGGCAGGGUGAGUCGACCCCUAAGGCGAGGCCGAAAGGCGUAGUCGAUGGGAAACAGGUUAAUAUUCCUGUACUUGGUGUUACUGCGAAGGGGGGACGGAGAAGGCUAUGUCAGCCGGGCGACGGUUGUCCCGGUUUAAGCAUGUAGGCGGAGGUUCCAGGUAAAUCCGGUACCUUAUUAACGCUGAGGUGUGAUGACGAGGCACUACGGUGCUGAAGUGAUAAAUGCCCUGCUUCCAGGAAAAGCCUCUAAGCAUCAGGUAACACGAAAUCGUACCCCAAACCGACACAGGUGGUCAGGUAGAGAAUACCAAGGCGCUUGAGAGAACUCGGGUGAAGGAACUAGGCAAAAUGGUGCCGUAACUUCGGGAGAAGGCACGCUGAUGUGUAGGUGAAGUCCCUGCGGACGGAGCUGAAAUCAGUCGAAGAUACCAGCUGGCUGCAACUGUUUAUUAAAAACACAGCACUGUGCAAACACGAAAGUGGACGUAUACGGUGUGACGCCUGCCCGGUGCCGGAAGGUUAAUUGAUGGGGUUAGCGGCAACGCGAAGCUCUUGAUCGAAGCCCCGGUAAACGGCGGCCGUAACUAUAACGGUCCUAAGGUAGCGAAAUUCCUUGUCGGGUAAGUUCCGACCUGCACGAAUGGCGUAAUGAUGGCCAGGCUGUCUCCACCCGAGACUCAGUGAAAUUGAACUCGCUGUGAAGAUGCAGUGUACCCGCGGCAAGACGGAAAGACCCCGUGAACCUUUACUAUAGCUUGACACUGAACACUGGUCCUUGAUGUGUAGGAUAGGUGGGAGGCUUUGAAGCGUGGACGCCAGUCUGCGUGGAGCCAACCUUGAAAUACCACCCUUUAAUGGCUGGUGUUCUAACGUAGACCCGUAAUCCGGGUUGCGGACAGUGUCUGGUGGGUAGUUUGACUGGGGCGGUCUCCUCCCAAAGAGUAACGGAGGAGCACGAAGGUUGGCUAAUCCUGGUCGGACAUCAGGAGGUUAGUGCAAUGGCAUAAGCCAGCUUGACUGCGAGCGUGACGGCGCGAGCAGGUGCGAAAGCAGGUCAUAGUGAUCCGGUGGUUCUGAAUGGAAGGGCCAUCGCUCAACGGAUAAAAGGUACUCCGGGGAUAACAGGCUGAUACCGCCCAAGAGUUCAUAUCGACGGCGGUGUUUGGCACCUCGAUGUCGGCUCAUCACAUCCUGGGGCUGAAGUAGGUCCCAAGGGUAUGGCUGUUCGCCAUUUAAAGUGGUACGCGAGCUGGGUUUAGAACGUCGUGAGACAGUUCGGUCCCUAUCUGCCGUGGGCGCUGGAGAAUUGAGGGGGGCUGCUCCUAGUACGAGAGGACCGGAGUGGACGCAUCACUGGUGUUCGGGUUGUCAUGCCAAUGGCACUGCCCGGUAGCUAAAUGCGGAAGAGAUAAGUGCUGAAAGCAUCUAAGCACGAAACUUGCCCCGAGAUGAGUUCUCCCUGAGACUUUAAGUCUCCUGAAGGAACGUUGAAGACGACGACGUUGAUAGGUCGGGUGUGUAAGCGCAGCGAUGCGUUGAGCUAACCGAUACUAAUGAACCGUGAGGCUUAACCUU